GGGGCGACGGGAGCGGUUAGCGGGCCCCGCCUUUCUCUCAGCCUUGUCUAGUCGCGUGAGAGCGGCCGCCGAGGCCUUUUCCCUGGCUGGGUGAUGAGCGCCGCCUCGAAUGGCUUUGCCUGCUCCGUCCAUCUUGUGUGUUAGCUAAUUCGCCAUAGAGAGGGAGUGAGAAUCGCAGGUCGCUCCCGGCCGCUUUUGCACAGAGAAAAGCAAAGCAAAAAAAAAACCCCAAGGCUGGGAAUGCGAGAAAGGCGCAGGGCAUUCGUUUCGGUAACUUUUCAAAAAAAAAAAAAAAAAAAAGCAAAACGCGUUGCAGCCGCAACCGAACCAUUUGGAAAACAAAUAGGUUGGUUUGAUCCGCCUGUUUGUUUAUGUAACUGUAUCCUUGGUGGAUGUACGCUGAAGCCAUUAUUUUAGUAGCCGCCGCCUGUCUCGCAACACAAGCGUUCAGUGAAAGGAGAGCCGAAAUAAAAGAACUUAAAAGAUGCGAUGCCGUCGCUAUUUUAUAAUUUUAUGACCCGCUUUAGAAAAGAAAAAAAAACCCCAGCUUUAGCCCAUUUCUUCUGAAUUUACCAUAAACUUGAGCAGUCGCCUCGCACUGCCGUGGAAAGAUCAGAGUUAUUGAUUUCGACCUACUCCCACUAGAGAUCCCUUGUUUAGGAUAAUAACUUAAACCUGUUUCCCAGGAUGACAUACAUAAGAUGUUAAUGAAAAGAAGAACUGACAUGAUAGCAGUGUUCCAAUAUCUAAGGAGCUGCCACAAAGAAGAAAGAAUCAACCUAUUCUCCAAAGCACCUGAAGGCAAGAUAAAAAACAAUGGAUGGAAACUAAACAAGGAGAGAACCAAACUAGGACUAUGGAGAAAAUUUCCUGACAGAACAAUUAUUCAAUGGAAUGGCUUGUCUUCAAAAGUUGUGGGUGCUCCAAUACUGGAGAUUUUAAAGAAGAGAUUGGACACCAUUUCUCUGAAAUGGUAUAUGCUUGAACAGGGAGUUGGACUAGAAGAUCUCCACGGUCCCGUCCAACUCUGUUAUUCUGUUAAAACUGAUUUAGUACAAUCUCAUUGCUUUCCAUACUACUGGAAAGCCAUUAUUCUCUCUCCCCACCUUUUGUGGUCAUAGUAUUGGCAUACAGCUGGGUUUUAUUUUGGGGGGUGAGUUUUAAAAACUAAAUUAAUAGUCAAGCCUCUGGGUGGGUCACAACAGAUUAAAAAUAUAAAUUGAUACAAAAGACUUA